rnacentral:lncRNA from 1 species
CUUUAUUAAGCCGGAGAACAUAAACAUCAAACAACACCCUAUUUAUAGAAGCAGUAAACCGAGCAGAAACUAGUACGAUCCAUGCCAACCCUAAAUCUCAAACUUUUCUCUCUACUCUUUUUAACUGGGAAUACUUCAUCUGUUUCCUUCCCUCUGUCUCAUUCCGCUCUGAGAGGCUGCUGCUUCUUCCCACGCUUUGGCUUUGAAAGAUGCCCUUGAGCCUUAUUUUCGGCUCUGACCAGGAUGAAAGCGCUCACUCUGCCUUUUCUGGGCGUUU